CUAGAUGAAGCCGGUUACCUCCAGGAUCUGUGCUAAGCGAGACUAGCGGUGAGUGCCUUUGAAAGAGUUACAACAUGCACGGAGAUGUGAAGGGUAUGUAUGGACUUAUCUAACUCUGGGGGAUACGGUGAAUAAGCUAAAGUCCCAAUAAGUUGGCGUGUUCCUUUAAAUACAGCAGGUCUCGCUUUGCCAGAACUUUCUCCACAGCGC